rnacentral:rRNA from 1 species
GUGGGGAAUCUUCCGCAAUGGACGAAAGUCUGACGGAGCAACGCCGCGUGAGUGAAGAAGGUUUUCGGAUCGUAAAGCUCUUUCGUUAGGGACGAACGUGCUCUUUGUGAAUAAUGAGGAGUAAUGACGGUACCUAAAUAAGAAGCCACGGCUAACUACGUGCCAGCAGCCGCGGUAAUACGUAGGUGGCAAGCGUUGUCCGGAAUUAUUGGGCGUAAAGCGCGCGCAGGCGGGAUAUCAAGUCUGUCGUAAAAGUGCGAGGCUCAACCUCGUGAGGGGACAGAAACUGGGAUUCUUGAGUGUCGGAGAGGAAAGUGGAAUUCCAAGUGUAGCGGUGAAAUGCGUAGAGAUUUGGAAGAACACCAGUGGCGAAGGCGACUUUCUGGACGAUGUCUGACGCUGAGGCGCGAAAGCUAGGGGAGCGAACGGGAUUAGAUACCCGUGUAGUCC